rnacentral:rRNA from 1 species
GACAGUUCGGUCCCUAGCCGKCGCGGGCGUUGGAAAUUUGAGAGGAGCUGUCCUUAGUACGAGAGGACCGGGAUGGACUUACCGCUGGUGUACCAGUUGUUCUGCCAAGGGCAUUGCUGGGUAGCUAUGUAGGGAAGGGAUAAACGCUGAAAGCAUCUAAGUGUGAAGCCCACCUCAAGAUGAGAUUUCCCAUUUCUUUAAGAAAGUAAGAUUCCUGAGAGAUGAUCAGGUAGAUAGGUCAGGAGUGGAAGUACAGUGAUGUAUGGAGCGGACUGAUACUAAUCGAUCGAGGACUUAACCAAU